rnacentral:rRNA from 1 species
UACGGAGGGGGCGAGCGUUAUUCGUAAUUAUUGGGCGUAAAGGGCGCGUAGGCGGCUGUACAAGUCAAAGGUGAAGUCCCUCGGCUCAACUGAGGAACUGCCUUUGAAACUGUACGGCUUGAGGCCGGGAGGGGGUAGCGGAAUUCCCAGUGUAGCGGUGAAAUGCGUAGAUACUGGGAGGAACACCAGUGGCGAAGGCGGCUACCUGGACCGGUUCUGACGCUGAGGCGCGAAAGCGUGGGUAGCAAACAGG